UACAGGGGGUGCAAACGUUGCUCGGAAUUAUUGGGCGUAAAGCGUGCGCAGGCGGUGAUGUAAGACAGAUGUGAAAUCCCCGGGCUCAACCUGGGAACUGCAUUUGUGACUGCAUCGCUGGAGUGCGGCAGAGGGGGAUGGAAUUCCGCGUGUAGCAGUGAAAUGCGUAGAUAUGCGGAGGAACACCGAUGGCGAAGGCAAUCCCCUGGGCCUGCACUGACGCUCAUGCACGAAAGCGUGGGGAGCAAACAGG
rnacentral:rRNA from 1 species